CACGUAGGGGGCAAGCGUUGUCCGGAUUUAUUGGGCGUAAAGAGCUCGUAGGUGGUUCGGUAAGUCAGGUGUGAAACCUCCAGGCUCAACCUGGGGACGCCACUUGAUACUGCUGUGACUGGAGUCCGGUAGGGGAGCGUGGAAUUCCUGGUGUAGCGGUGAAAUGCGCAGAUAUCAGGAGGAACACCAGCGGCGAAGGCGCCACUCUGGGCCGAAACUGACGCUGAGGAGCGAAAGCGUGGGGAGCGAACAGG
rnacentral:rRNA from 1 species